GCCACCCAAUGGGGGAGAGGAGCGCCGGCGCGUCAUCAGUGUCCAAGCAGAAGGACCUGACACAUAAGCUGUCUGGACACCAGGACAGAAGCACAGGCCAAAGUCAUCACCAUCCCCUCCACCCUUCCUCUGCCUCUUCUCUUCAGAAGUCGCACCCUGGAGUCUUCUAGGAGAAAAGCCUCUUCCGGGCAUACAGUGGCAACAACAAGCAGUUGGGGACACAGGGAGAGAAGCUAUCCUUAAGCAGAGGCGCUGGCCUGCGAGCCCCUCACAGACCCCACAGUGACCAGGCUCUGUCCACCUGCAGACCAAGAAGCUCCGGAAUCUGCUAAAAAUGACGGAGACUCAGCAGCUACCCGGACAAUCUCCCGGGUUCCUCUGUGGUAAUCUUGAUGUCCUUGGGAGCAGAGGGGCCAGGGCAGUGUCAGUCUUCGCUGCCAGGCUCAGAGGGUCCAACAGACUUUCCUGUCGACUAGGACUUGGGGGACCGGCCUGCUCUGUCUCAGCAAACAGGAUGGUCAAUUCCCCAGUGUCCUGCUUGUCCACAGUUUGGACAGGGUCCUGGCGACGGGCAAGGGUAAGGGAAAGGUUUUGAGGACCGUUAUCUGGUAAGAGUAUUCAAACUAAACAAGCUUUGCUUGUUUCUAGUUACUUGUUUUAGACUUCACUUUGAGAACAUAUACAGGAGGCUAAAUAAAGCUUAUUGCUGUAAUUAAUUACAUCAGGACUUAGCGUGACAGCAAGGAGAGCUCUGCACACAUUAAAGCAUUUGAUCAUGAA